UGAGAAGUACCACGAGGAAAAAGGUAGAAUUUCUAAUUGCUAGGUCAGUGCAUUUGUAGCGGAGCAGAUGUGAAGAAGACAAUAUCAACAUUUUGAUAACCAGCACUAUUAGAGAUGCAGCAAGAUAUUGGUGAUCGUUUACUUGGUUACAGAAGUCAAAGAAUGGGAUUUAUUAACAUCAUACAUCAAGAAAUGAUACCAUUGCUGCUGUUUUCUUGUGUCUUAUGGGAGAAAGGGAUCCCAACAAUUAUGGUAUGAUGCUAAUAAUACGACUGAUGAACCCUGUACUUUUUGCCGCA
rnacentral:lncRNA from 1 species